GCAAUUAUACCGCGAAACUGCGAAUGGCUCAUUAUAUAAGUUAUCGUUUAUUUGAUAGUACCUUACUACUUGGAUAACCGUGGUAAUUCUAGAGCUAAUACAUGCUAAAAAUCCCGACUUCGGAAGGGAUGUAUUUAUUAGAUUAAAAACCAAUGCCCUUCGGGGCUCCUUGGUGAUUCAUGAUAACUUCUCGAAUCGCAUGGCCUUGUGCCGGCGAUGGUUCAUUCAAAUUUCUUCCCUAUCAACUUUCGAUGUUUGGGUAUUGGCCAAACAUGGUUGCAACGGGUAACGGAGGGUUAGGGCUCGACCCCGGAGAAGGAGCCUGAGAAACGGCUACUACAUCCAAGGAAGGCAGCAGGCGCGCAAAUUACCCAAUCCCGACUCGGGGAGGUAGUGACAAUAAAUACUGAUACAGGGCUCUUUUGGGUCUUGUAAUUGGAAUGAGUACAAUUUAAAUCCCUUAACGAGGAACAAUUGGAGGGCAAGUCUGGUGCCAGCAGCCGCGGUAAUUCCAGCUCCAAUAGCGUAUAUUAAAGUUGUUGUGGUUAAAAAGCUCGUAGUUGAACCUUGGGCCUGGCUGGCCGGUCCGCCUCACCGCGUGUACUGGUCCGGCCGGGCCUUUCCCUCUGUGGAACCCCAUGCCCUUCACUGGGUGUGGCGGGGAAACAGGACUUUUACUUUGAAAAAAUUAGAGUGCUCCAGGCAGGCCUAUGCUCGAAUACAUUAGCAUGGAAUAAUAGAAUAGGACGUGUGGUUCUAUUUUGUUGGUUUCUAGGACCGCCGUAAUGAUUAAUAGGGACAGUCGGGGGCAUCAGUAUUCAAUUGUCAGAGGUGAAAUUCUUGGAUUUAUUGAAGACUAACUACUGCGAAAGCAUUUGCCAAGGAUGUUUUCAUUAAUCAGGAACGAAAGUUAGGGGAUCGAAGACGAUCAGAUACCGUCGUAGUCUUAACCAUAAACUAUGCCGACUAGGGAUCGGACGAUGUUAUUUUUUGACUCGUUCGGCACCUUACGAGAAAUCAAAGU
rnacentral:rRNA from 1 species